rnacentral:rRNA from 1 species
UACGUAGGGUGCGAGCGUUGUCCGGAAUUAUUGGGCGUAAAGAGCUUGUAGGCGGUCUGUCGCGUCUGCUGUGAAAAUCCGGGGCUCAACCCCGGACCUGCAGUGGGUACGGGCAGACUAGAGUGUGGUAGGGGAGACUGGAAUUCCUGGUGUAGCGGUGAAAUGCGCAGAUAUCAGGAGGAACACCGGUGGCGAAGGCGGAUCUCUGGGCCAUUACUGACGCUGAGGAGCGAAAGCGUGGGGAGCGAACAGG